rnacentral:piRNA from 1 species
UCAGCAGCUGUUCGAAUAAGCAUGGUAA